rnacentral:tRNA from 1 species
GGGGACGUAGCUCAAUUGGGAGAGCGCCUGCUUUGCACGCAGGAGGUUGCCGGUUCGAUCCCGGUCGUCUCCA